CUCUGUCCAAAUAUUAUAUGUCAAUACCUUUAUAAACUAAAGUAGGUUUCCAGACGGCCUUUUCAUAUGUCCUUAAUUUUGGCUACUGCCCCCUCCUCCCACUUCUCCAUUGUGCUUCUAUCUACUCCCUGCUUAGACCUUCUGUCUUAGGCUUCUAUUGCUGAGAUAAAACACCAUGACUGAAAGCAUCCAGAGAAGGAGUUUGUUUUACCUUACACUUCUGGCUAACAAUCCAUCACUGAGGGGAGUCAGAUCAGGAGCUCAAGCAGGGCAGGAAUCUGGAGGCAGAAGUCAGAGGGGCAUGCUCACUGCUGGCUUACUCCUCAUAGCUUCCCAAGUCUGUUCUCCUACAGCACCUAGGACAAUAGGAGUGAUACCUGCCACCAUGAGCUGAGCUUCCCACAUCAGUCACUAACCAAGAAAGUAUACCACAGGCUUGUCCACCACCACUUUAGAAGAGACAUUGUCUCAGUUGAAGUUUCCUCUUCCAAAACGACCCUCGCUUGGGUAACAUUGACCAAGUUCGCCGCCAGCUUUCUGUAACAUUAAAUAUUAAUUAAUCCCAGCUCCGGGGUUCUGCUACCCACCCCAGAGGUCUAUGUUCCCAAGCAAAAGAAACACACACCCAGCCUUUAUCGUUUAAUAUGUGCCUUAAACAGCACAAUAGCUGAGCCAUUGCCUGACCUCCAUGUGGUUAAUCCCAAGUUACUAUUUACUAGUUCUAUGUUCCAUCUUGGCUGCCCUGGACCCAGUCGGGCACCCUCUGGGCCAAGCUCUCCUGGCUCCUUCACACGCGGUGGCUAUGCCUCUCUGUCUCUCCUCUCUUCCACACUCUCUCAGCAUGGUGGAUCUCUUCUUCCUCCUUCUCCUCCCAAGCCCAGGAAUCCUAACAUCCCGCCUCUGUCUGCCCUCCCCAGCUAUUGGCUGUUGGCGUCUUCAUUUACCAAUCAGAACCAAUUAGGGACAGGUUCCCAGAAGCUACAUACAGAUACUCUUUUGUGUAAUCGUUUUUUUUUUUUGUGGGGGGAAGGGGAGGAGGAAUAUAAUUAGCAUUCAUAACACAAGCAGCUACACCCUUCUACCCUCACUAUCUUCUUCCAUUCUUAUGUCUAAUGUGCCCUACUAUUCCCAUCCCUUAAACCUCACCCACUUUUCCACUGAGCCUCUUUCUGUCUUCUGGUCUUUAUCAGGACUCAAAGUUAAACAUGGUACUCCAAAAAUGUGUAUCUAGGAUCCAUGUUUGGGGAAGAACAUAUGGUCUUUCUGAGGUUGGGUUACUUCACUCAAUACAGUAUUUUCUAGGUCAAUCCAUUUUUUCUAAAAUAUUCACAGUUUCGUUCUCCUUUACAAAUGGAUAAAAUUCCAUGGUGCUUGCACACCACAUUUCCAUUAUUUAUUCUGCUCUAUGGCCAUCUGGGCUGGUUCCAUUUCUUCUGUACUGUGAUUAGCAUCACAGUGAACAGGGAACUACAUCUUUAUUGUAGGAGUUAGAAUCUUUGGUAUCUAUGCCCAGGAGUAAUGUAGCUACAUCACAUAGCAAUUCUGCUUGGAGCUUUUUGGAAACUUCCACAAUGCUGUCUCCACCCCCAUCAACAGUGAGUAAGGGCCUCCCUCCCCACAUCCUCACUGCAUCCCUACUGGUGUGUACAGUCGUUUGCUUUACUCAUAAUAGCCGUUCUCACUGAAGUAAGAUGGGAACUGAGUAGUCUCCAUUUGCACUUUUCUGGUGCCUAAGGGUGAAGAAUGCUUUUUAAAAAAUAUUUAUUAGCUAUUUUGUUUCUCUUGAGAGCUCUCUGUUCAGUUCCAUGAGCCCUUUUUAAUAAGAUUGUUCACUUUCUUGAUGUUUGGUUUGCUUAAGCCCUUGGAAUAUUCUAGAUAGUGAUCCUCGGUCGGAGGAAUAGCUGGUACGGCUUCUCACCCGUUCUGCAGGCCACUCCUCAUUAAAUUAGCAGUUUCCUUUGUGUUGAAGAAAGCUUUCUAAUACCACGAGGUUCUGCUUGUCAACUGUUGGCUGUAUUUCCUGGGUCCCACUCAGAAAGUUCUCACCCGUGCUCACAUCUUUGAGUGUGUGCCCUACUGUGACUGUUAGCAGCUUCAGAGCUUCAGGCCUUACACUGAAAUCAUCGGCCCGUCUGGAGUUGACUUGUGUGCAGCAGGAGAGAUUAGGAUUUAGUUUCAUCCUUGUACAUGCAGAUGUUAUAAAAUGAAUUCAUAUGCCGGCUGUGCGCACGCCUUUAGUUCCAGCACUCAGGAGGCAGAGGCAGCCAGAUCUCUGAGUUCGCGGCCAGACUUGUCUGUAAAGCAAGUUACUGGAUAGCCAGCACUACACAGAAAGACUCUCUUGAAAAACAAAGGCAAAGUCUUUUGUAGCCUUAUGUUAUAAAGUACUUUUCUAAAAUAAUAAUGGAAAAUGAUGAGUAUUCUAUUGGCUUUGCUGCCACAGUGAAAAUUACUGAUUACUUGGGGUUCUUUUGUUUUUGGUUUUUUUGGUUUUUUUUUUUUUCAUUUAUUUUGCCUCGAGAAUGUAAUUGAGUAUGAAAUUUAAAAUUGCCAACUCCUCCACUCAAAUCUGAAUCAAGUGGUCUGUGGUCUUCAGUCUUUAUAUAAGGUGACUUAAGUAAUGCAUUCUUGGAGAUGUUGUUCCAGCCCCUGGCCAGGCAGAGCUACAGGGGAAAAAAUCCUGUCACAAAAAAGACUGUCCUGAUGUGUGCUCAGAAUAAUUAAUUGCCCUUCACUUUCUGGUCUCUUUCAAACCCCAGCACCAAUCAGGAGGAGGUCAGGCAUUAUUUGGGACAGGCAAUUGGUACUUUCUUAGUGAGGUAACCCAAUCACAAAAGAAGUCAUUAGAUAUGCACUCACUGAUAAGUGGAUAUUAGCCCAGAAACAUAAAACACCCAAUAUACAAUUUGCAAAACACAAGAAAAUCAAGAAGAGGGAAGACAAUGAGUGAAUACUUCAUUCCUCCUUAGAAUAGGGAACAAAAUACCCAUGAAAGGAGUUUUCAUCUUGGAGCUAAGACGAAAGGAUAGACUAUCCGGAGACUGCCCCACCUGGGGAUCCAUCCCAUAAUCAGCCACCAAACCCAGACACUAUUGCAUAUGCCAGCAAGAUUUUGCUAAAGGGACCCUGUUAUAACUGUCUCGUAUGAGGCUAUGCCAGUGCCUGGCAAAUACAGAAGUGGAUGCUCACAGUCAUCUAUAAGAUGGAACACAGGGCCCCCAAUGGAGAAGCUAGAGAAAGCACCCAAGGAGCUGAAGGGGUCUGCAACCCUAUAGGUGGAACAACAAUAUGAACUAAUCAGUACC
rnacentral:lncRNA from 1 species